CCUACGGGCGGCUGCAGUCGAGAAUCUUCCGCAAUGGGCGAAAGCCUGACGGAGCGACGCCGCGUGCGGGAUGAAGGCCUUCGGGUUGUAAACCGCUGUCGGAUGGGAGGAAAUUCAUGGGGGUUCUCCCCUGUGAUUGACUGAACAUCGAAGGAAGCACAGGCUAAGUUCGUGCCAGCAGCCGCGGUAACACGAACUGUGCAAACGUUAUUCGGAUUUACUGGGCUUAAAGAGUUGAUAGGUGGCCUGUGAAAUCCCCCAGCCCAACUGGGGAACUGAGCUCGAUACUGUCGGGCUUGAGGGAGAUAGAGGUGAGCGGAACUGAUGGUGGAGCGGUGAAAUGCGUUGAUAUCAUCAGGAACACCGGUUGCGAAAGCGGCUCACUGGGUCUCUUCUGACGCUGAGGAACGAAAGCUAGGGGAGCAAACGGGAUUAGAUACCCUAGUAGUC
rnacentral:rRNA from 1 species